UUCACUGGCACAUUUUCUGUAUUUCAUUUCAGUGCCAAUCCACUACCAACCCAGCAACAAUGUGGCGUUAAACACAAAUGAUACCCAACAGCACUCUUUGAAAUUGGAAAUGAGAGUCUUCAUUAAUUUAGAAAAUCCAGAACUACAUAUUAACAUUUUCUGUAAUAAUUUCUCUCCCUGAUUAGGUCGGUGACUAAACAAGUACUCGCUGCUAUAUUAUCCAGGCCAUUUGCUUGAUCAUUUCCUCUGGUUAAAAGCAAGUAUUUGUUCUUUCAAGUAUUUGUUUUGUUCGGGCUCCAAAAGUUAAAGAGGUAAGUUUACAUCAAGACAGGUAAGUAUCUGUCCACAAUGAAAUCUUGGAAAAGAUGAUUCCCUAUGGUUCAAUUGUGUGGCCCUAAGUAGCACACACGGGCUAACAGGGUUGUAGAGAGACAGUAGAUGUUGUUGCUGAAAGAGGCCUUGGCCGAGUUUCAACAUGAGAAGUGGUGUUGUUGUUGUUUAUAUCCUAUCAAAUGCCGACAUCUGUUCAUGGACCGUGUCCUUGCCAGAGCUAUACUGUGAGGAUAUUUAAAAUAAAGAUAUGUAAACAUGGCACCUUGAAGUCACUAUAUUUUAUCUUCACUCAAAUACAACCUCUUGGAACACUUUGGAAAUUCUAAAAAAAAGAGAUUGGGGUCAGAGUUAGAAGAAUAUGAUUUACUGAAGUGGCAAAAAGAAAAGUACUUUUUAAAAUCCUCUCUGCCAUAAUAUAUUGUCAUUGUAUUAAAACUAAUAAGUGGUGAUAAAGUCUACUGUUGUUGGCUAUAAAGGAAGCUUUUAAAAUAUAGAGUUUAAAUAAUAAUUGCAUACAUAUGUAUAUAUAUAUGGAGGCUGCCCUUAGUGUCAGGUUUGAUGUGUAAUGUUCAAGGGUUAUCUGUAAUUCAUGCUUUACAGCAAGACAGGUCUUUUUAUGUCAGAAACCAAGUGCAUGAUUGCCUGUUCUUAAGCAAAAAUGUGCUGCUUGGCAACUGAAUUUAAAUUGUGUAUUAUUCUGCUGUGGUUCAACAACCUGAUUAUUUUUAGAUAGAAAUUUAAGGUAAAAUGGCACAUGGAUAUAUUUAGAGAGGACUGCAGCUGGAGUCCAGCUAUCACAGAAAGCAUUCUGGCAUUUGCUUGGGGAAGAUAUAGCUUUCAAGGGGCAGGGGUUCAGUAAUAGCAGGUCACUAACAACUGUUUCAGGGAGUCACUGAUUCCUGGAAGCAAUGACUGGUGUCUUGACACCCUGGAAGUUUUCCCAAAUGACUUGGCUAGAGUAGAUAAAGCUCAUUUUAUGCCGUUGAUCGUAUGUAUUUUCUUGCUGAUCAUGGAAGAUGGGAGCAAGAAAGGACACUAUGUUUGAUUUGAUUUUGCAGGGAAUAGAGCGACUCAUUAGUCAUUCAGUCAAACAUCCAACAAACAUUUAUUGAGCAUUUACAAUGUACCAUGUUAUUAGAUGCAAGAGAUACAAUGGUGAGGAAAAACAAAUAUUCCCAUGUCUUCAUGAAGCUCAAGACUUAACAGGUAGGAUUAACAUUAACCAGAUAAUCACAUAAAUAAAUGUAAAGUUGCCACUAUGAUGAAUGCUGCCAAUGAAUAGUCUAGUGCUAUCAGGGCAUGCAAGAGGGGAAUCUGGCAUAGUCGAGAUACAGCAAGGCUUCCCUGGAGAAGACACCACUGAAAUCAAGUCUGAAAAGUGAGUAAAAAUUAAUAAAUGAAAGGAAAUUUGAGACUGUCCUAUGUACUCAGAGCAAAAUGUGCCAAAGCCCUGCUGCUGAAGGAGCAUGCAUGUUUGGGGGACUGGUAGGUCAGUGCAGCUGAAGCAGAGAGAGAGAAGACAGGCUAUUAUAAGAUAAGCCUGAAGAGGUAGGAUGAGGUCAACCUUAGAGGACCCUGUACACCACAUUAAGGCCUCAUAUUUUCAGCCAUGUAGGCAAAAUUGGGGCAAACAUACUUUUAAAAGGGAUAAUGGAUCCUUAUAAAAGAAAUUAAGGUCAAUAUAUAUUCAUUGCUACUAUUUUGUGCAAGAAACUAUGCUAGGUCUGAAGAAGCUGCCAAAGGAGUACAACAUCUAUGUUCAUAAUGCAUAAGCAGUCCAAUGAAUAAACAGUGAAAUAUAUUCCAUGUUGUCAGAGAAUAUCUUUAAAUGAUAUGAAGAUUUACUGGAAGAAGACAUGUAACAUGACAAGAGGGAAUAGAAUCUGGGGAACACUUAAUAGAAAAAGGCUAAUGAACAGUCAAUAGAAUUUCUACUAGCAGAAAUGGAGAGUGUGGAGUUAGUGCUAUUGACAGAGUUAUCAAUGUGAGCAAAACCAAACACCAAAAGUGGACCAUGUCCAUUGUCUUUGGGGAGAACAGUAGAAACUUCAGGGAGGUUGUGAUACAGGCACCACCUGGAGAUGGUACAACAGAACAAUGUCUUACUUUUACAUUGUACCCUACAUUUAUAAUCUCAAUAGAUCUCCAAAAGAACACUAUGAAAGAAAUAGGGAAGCUUUAGCAGUUAUCUUCAUUUUACUGAAAUGUAGAGUGUAUAAAUAAUUUUUCCAAGAACACACAACUGGCAAAUGAUUGAUCCACAAUUAAAAUACAGAUUGCAAGUUUCCACUGCUUCACUGAGUCACAAAUUUCAAUCAUUCAGAAUCCAUCUUUAUGGUUUCACUACAUCUGGAUAUCACUUUACUAUCAUACACUUAACGUUUAUCUUUUAAUUGACUAAUUCUUUUUCCUUAAAAUUUUUUAAAAGGAAACUAUCACCCCCUAAGAGGAAGCCAAUAUCAUUUGUCACAAGUUUAAAGAUGCUGCUUGCCUCACAUCUACAACCGUUCCACUGACCAACCCACGUCAAAUGGCCAUGGACAAAGCUAAUGGGAUGGAAAAGUAUACUCCACCUAUGGGGAAGUAGAGACGGCGUUUCACCACGUUAACCAGGCUGGCCUUGAUCUCCUGACCUCGUGAUCCACCCAUCUCAGCCUCCCAAAGUUCUGGGAUUACAGGUGUGAGCCACUGCGCCCAGUCAACAUGUAAUUUUUUAGUGGGAAAAAGCAUGGAUUAUUGCAAAAAUCAAGAUGCAGACAAAAUGGCAAAUCUGAGAAGAGAUGGACAGGCAAAAUGGAGCACAACGGAGUCACUACUGCUACGUCAGUGUGGAGUCGCACCUUGAGCCAUAGUGUUACUUAACCAUGUUCCUUGAUGGCACACAGAAUGUUAUACUGUAAUAUAGAUGUAAAUAUUAAUAUAAUAUAGAAGCAUAUAGUAUAUAUAUCAUACUGUAAUAUAGAAAUAAAUAUUAUACUUCUGGAA